GCGGGAUUAGCUCAGUUGGUAGAGCACCUGACUCUUAAUCAGGGUGUCCAGGGUUCGAAGCCCUGAUCUCGCACCA
rnacentral:tRNA from 1 species